UAUGCAGAACUUUCCAGCGCUUUUCCUCCUUGUUCCUGACCCAGAAUCUUCUAACUGUCCCCCUUCCAGGCUCAGGCAGAUGGUGAUCAAUCCACACAUUCCAUAAUCCCAGCAAUAAAAGAUACUGUGGGUUAGACUUACAGUCCAUCAUACCCAGGACUACAGUUCCCUUGAUGUCUAGCCACAUAAAUUCUUCGAGAAGACAAAAACUUCCUAUGCAGUGGACGUAGUUGGAAACAGGCAGCUUGUCACACUUAAACGUCACAUAUUAUGCUGAGUGAAUCAGAAUGGACCAAAGGUUGUUGCUGAGAGUCGUCAUCACUGAAGAUGAUAUAAGGAAGGUGACUUUAAAUGAGAGACCACAGUCUAUUGAAGAAUUAAAAGUGCAACUGGUGGACAAACUGUCACUGCAGUAUGACUUUAAACUGCAGUAUGAAGAUCAAGACUUCCAUAAUGCCCUUUGCAAUUUGACUGAAAUAACUGAUUUACCUGAAAGAGCUACACUCAAAAUCAUCCCUCUUGUGACUCUCCAUUUAACCACGUUGUCAUCACCCACCACGACUUCAGACACUGAGUGCAGCACAGCAGACACUGAGAUCCUGUCGACUGGAAGAGCAUCACCAUCACUAAGACAACAGUGGCCAGAAUUCUUUGAUGUACCCAAUUUCUCUGUUGAUGUUGAGUAUCGACUCAGACAGGCAGAUCUUGCCUUUAUGAAGGACGGAACACGUAUGCCUCUGCCACGAGAUAUGAAGCAUGACAUACUAGAAAAACUUGCUGAGACAAUGUACAGUUUCAAGGCUUACCCUAAAGAUGAUGACUUCUGCAGUGUUGCAAAAGCACUGAUUAGCAAACACCCCUGCCUCACUGAGCCUGGAGCACACCGAUGGUAUGGCUGGAAAAACAGCCUCAAAUUUAAAAUGGCCAAUUAUCGCACAAAGCUUCGAAAAGCUGGAUGUGAGGAUGUAGCAAUCAAUGGAGGCAAAAGAAGUAAAGGCAACCCAGAAGGAGAAUCCUCAAGCAAGAAUAUCAAACGGCCAAAAAGAGGUGAAGCAAACUACCUGCCUAACUUACCUGAAGGACAUGAUGAAACAA